rnacentral:rRNA from 1 species
UACGAAGGGGGCUAGCGUUGCUCGGAAUUACUGGGCGUAAAGCGCACGUAGGCGGCUCUUUAAGUCGGGGGUGAAAUCCUGGAGCUCAACUCCAGAACUGCCUUCGAUACUGUAGAGCUUGAGUUCGGGAGAGGUGGGUGGAAUUCCUAGUGUAGAGGUGAAAUUCGUAGAUAUUAGGAAGAACACCGGUGGCGAAGGCGGCCCACUGGCUCGAUACUGACGCUGAGGUGCGAAAGCGUGGGGAGCAAACAGG